rnacentral:lncRNA from 1 species
AUACAGGCUUUUGACAGUUCUUCAGAAUGAAGCACCUCCUGUCUGUUCUGUUCAGUCCCAGUCCAGAAAUGUGUCUGACACGUAUUAACUCCAAGAGUCAUGACCACAGACAAGGUUGGAGAAUGCUUCUGCUUCGUGCUAACUCUCAUGGGUCAUGUCCAAGGAAGAGGUCCUAAAGCCAGGAGGCAGAAGUCCAGGUCCAGGUCCAGGCCGCUAUUCAAGAAACCCUGGGAUCCUCAGCCCCCCUGGGCCUCAGUACCCUCCACUGCAGCACAGAGGUCAUGUUAUCUUCUCUACCCACCUCCCUGGAUGGUUAUGAGAACAUGACGUGACAAUGGAUAUGAAAAUUCUCUGAAAAUUUCAAAGAAUAUGCUGAAGGUAUUAUUUUUUAUUGUUACAGAUUAUUUGUAGAGUUGGGCUGCUCAUAGUCAUUUUUGAGAUCAAUCUCUUUUCUUUUAUAUGUUUAUGCUCUGGUACCAAAGUCGGGUUUCCCUCCUCCCCCAGCUAAAGUAAUAUCCAUCCUGGUAGGCCAGGUACCACCAAGUGCUGACCUCCUUGGAGCUUAUUCAUCUGUUUGGUCAGCAAAUAUUUCUACAGCACAGGUGGUAAGGGACAAGUUAAGUAACAGUCGACUGGCUGACAAAUAGUUGCCAAAGCCACCAAAAGCAGAAACAGUACAGUCUUCUCCCUCAGAGGGCUGUGCUCCUCUAUGGCAUCCUUGAGCUGUCCAGAGAGCCCUCAGCCUGUUCUGCCCAGAGAAGGCCCAGGGAGGAGGUGGCUUGUGGGGAGCCAGGCAGGGCAGCAGGGCCUGGGCAGGACCCCUGCCUCCUAACUUCCAGGAGCUUCCUACACUCCCAGCCUCUCAAGGGAUGGAUGAUUGAAGCCAUGGUAGGUGGUGCUUUGCCUCUUCUUAUCUCCUGUUGCUAAGGUAUCCAAGUGAGCAUGAAACAGAAAUAAGCCAUGUGAUCUGGCUGCCUCCCACCCACGUGGCCAGACAGCCCCCAACUUGGCCAGAGAGGCACCGUCAGGCCAUCGAUCAGCCUGAACCUGUGUUGAGGGUGGGGUGUCAGGGACUCCCCGAGGAGAAAUGACUGAGCUGGGGUGGCAGCUGAUAGUCUCUGAACACUGUUUCUGGGCAAAGAUGUUGAAGCUGGAUUGGGGGACAGAGGUUAAGGAUUGAAAUGACUACAGUAUGCAGCUGUCAGAAUGGGAAUGGCUAGAAUCCUCUGGGGCCCAGGUUCUCCCUGCUUGUCCUUGGUUUACUAAGGGAAUCUACAGAACUUGAGGGAAGGAAGCACAGCCUCUCUCACCCCUUGAAAUCUGCGCCUCUAGCUUCCCUGCUUGCCCUCAAGAUGGGCCCUUCCAAGCUUUCGGACAGGGGCCUUUCUUAAGGAGCAGCACAGUACUGUGGGGAUGAGGGCAAGGUCAUCUGUGAGUGAGGCAGCUCCUCGUGGGCCACAGAGAGGGGAGCUAAUCAGGAGAGAGGAGAGGUGCUGGGCAGACCAACCCAAAGACUGACCCCUGCAAGGUCUCCCUCCAACUUCAAGGCUCAACUCAACAGUGACCUUCCCUGGGAGUUCCCGUUGUGGCUCUGCGGAAACGAAUCCGACGAGGAACCAUGAGGUUGCGGGUUCGAUCCCAGGCCUCACUCAGUGGAUUAAGGAUCCAGCAUUGCCAUGAGCUGUGGUAUAGGUCACAGACACGGCUCAGAUCUGGUGUUGCUAUGGCUGUGGUGUAGGCUGGUAGCUCUGAUUAGACCCCUAGCCUGGGAACCUCCAUAUGCCUGGGGUGCAGCCCUAAAAAUCAAAACAAUAACAAAAACAAAAAACAAUGACCUACCCUAAAAGUCCUUGCAAAUCUACCUGGCCUGGAAAUACCACUUUUCUCCUCUCUACUCAUCCAGUGUUUUCAUCUAUACCUCUCUGUGCACUUAGCACCUGUUUAUUAUGUCCUCACCUUUUGAAUAAUUUUUAUUACACAAAUACUAAUGUAUGUUCAUUGAAGGAAAAAUUACAAACACAGACACCCACAAAGAAGAAAAUUAAAAAAAAAAAA